rnacentral:rRNA from 1 species
CUUCGAACACUACGCCAUGGCACACAAGCUUCUCGUUUCCCCUUCUCUCGCGAAAGACACCGAGUCUUCGAGAACACCUCCCAUAUUCCUCGUCGGCAGCCCGUCCCUUCUUCCCUGGCAAUCGCCAUAGUUGAGUUGGGCCAUUAGAGAUGGAGACGACAACGGCGGUUUCUAGCAUGUCGGAGUUGGGGUUGAUACCCUUUUGUGCUGGCUCUGGUUCUCAUCCUCCAAGAUGCGUCCCUUUCUCCCAUGUUUAACCACGGAGGCUACCAACGACAGCACCGCCAUGAGUAGGUCUGGGCGUUUCAGACGCGGAGGUUUUCGGCCAGGGAUAGAAGGGCUGCUUCGCAGUCGCAGGGGGCUCAUGACGAGCAAGUGAUAUUUUUGUCAAGGAGAAGUCUUCAGAGAAGAUUGGCCUAGAACUGGCGGUACUGAGCAUUGUGCAUUUUUUUGGUGAUCUGAAUGAACCAUGCUCUCACUAUGCCACUGCGUAGUUUUUGCACAGAAUUCUUGUGUGAAUGAGUGGUGCCAAAUUGCCAAUAGAAGAUGGUUUCCCACAAAAAAAAUAGAAGGAAGCAAGAAGCAUGCAACGUGGACCAGAGAAGAGAAACAAUGUUCAGGGGUGUCCAGCUUGGAUACUUGGUUUAGUGUUCAUGAUAUUUUUAACCAGUGGAUGAUGAGGGCAUGCCCCCACAGUUCUAAGGGAGGUGUCGCUGUUGCGGAUGCUGUCUAAGAGCCCACAUUUCAUGCUCCUGCUCGAUCUGAAGCAGGGCCGGACCAUCCUCUAUCUCGUUUUCGAGUACAUGGAUGCCAACCUUAAGAAGUUCAUCCACGGCCACCGCAUAACCAUGAGAAGAUCCCCAACCACACAGUCAAGGAACCAGGAACUUCUGAACUCCAGAACAUUUCUCUACUACACUGGUACCAUAAAAAGAUUAACGACCUGCAGACUUGCUUCAGCAGUUGGUUCUACGAGUUUUGGUCUUAGUGCUCUCUUAAUGGGCCUAAAAAAAGAAUUAUCCUAAUGGAUAACUGUCUUCAUAGUUGAAAAAGUCCUAGAAGUUGAGUACAACUGGUGUUGCUUCAUGAGAUGACCAGUUUUAAGCAUAAGGGAGCAUUGAUGUGCCAUUUUUCAUUUGUAAAGCAGUGAACAAUAAAAUAUUCUAGAUUGUAUCUCACCGUACUUGUGAAUGUCUUAGCAUUUUUGUUAUCUCUUGGAUAUAUUUACUUGAUGCAAAGUUUAGUAUUUUCAAACUCAUU